AUGGCCAUAAAAGUGUCAAUAGACGUCAAAGGCCCGAGGAUGGCCAGUCAGCUCCCACGGGCCUGCUUCCCAAAAAAGGUGACCACUCCUGUGCCGGUCCACACGCCUGGGCACCGGGUGUCACUACCGGCUGCGCAGAAGAAUCCAGAAGGCCAGUUAGAGCAGGUUCUGCCCUUUCGGGCCUCCUGCGGGCCCUUUCUUCUGCGUUCACCAUCUGUGCGGACACCCAGUGGGUGGCGCGACCUAGAAGAGGCGUCCUGCCGCGACGGCGCCUGCACCAGGCGCCCAGUAAGGCUGGGUAGCCGAGGCCGGGGUCGCCAGGCCCCGCCCUCACGGCGUGUCCCUUCCUUCCCCACAGCCACGUCCCCGUGCAAGAUUCUCAAGUGCAACUCUGAGUUCUGGAGCGCCACGUCGGGGAGCCACGCCGCCGUCCCGGACGACGCCCCCGAGUUCUGCGCGGCCCUGCGCACCUACGCCCUGUGCACGCGGCGGACGGCCCGCACCUGCCGGGGCGACCUGGCCUACCACUCGGCGGUCCAUGGCAUAGAGGACCUCAUGAGCCAGCACAACUGCUCCAAGGAUGGCCCCACCUCGCAGCCGCGCCUGCGCACGCUCCCGCCGGCGGGGGACAGCCAGGAGCGCUCGGACAGCCCCGAGGUCUGCCACUACGAGAAGAGCUUCCACAGGCAGGCGGCCGCCCCCAACUACACGCACUGCGGCCUGUUCGGGGACCCGCACCUCAGGACUUUCACAGACCGCUUCCAGACCUGCAAGGUUCAGGGCGCCUGGCCGCUUAUCGACAAUAAUUACCUGAACGUGCAGGUCACCAACACGCCCGUGCUGCCCGGCUCGGCUGCCACUGCCACCAGCAAGGUGAGGGGGAGGGCGGGCCGCGGGGACACAGCCCUGAUCUUUGCGUCUUUGCGCGGUGGAGACAGAGACCCGGGGGCCAUGGUGUCUGGGAAUGGGGGGAGAGGGAGCUGA